AUUGAACGCUGGCGGCAGGCCUAACACAUGCAAGUCGAGCGGAUGAAGGGAGCUUGCUCCUGGAUUCAGCGGCGGACGGGUGAGUAAUGCCUAGGAAUCUGCCUGGUAGUGGGGGAUAACGUCCGGAAACGGGCGCUAAUACCGCAUACGUCCUGAGGGAGAAAGUGGGGGAUCUUCGGACCUCACGCUAUCAGAUGAGCCUAGGUCGGAUUAGCUAGUUGGUGGGGUAAAGGCCUACCAAGGCGACGAUCCGUAACUGGUCUGAGAGGAUGAUCGGUCACACGGGAACUGAGCCACGGUCCAGACUCCUACGGGAGGCAGCAGUGGGGAAUAUUGGACAGUGGGCGAAAGCCUGCUCCAGCCAUGCCGCGUGUGUGAAGAAGGUCUUCGGAUUGUAAAGCACUUUAAGUUGGGAGAAAGGGCAGUAAGUUAAUACCUUGCUGUUUUGACGUUACCAACAGAAUAAGCACCGGCUAACUUCGUG
rnacentral:rRNA from 1 species